UUUAUUGAAUUUUCUUGCUAACAGAAUACAUACACAGUUAUGCUGAAUAAGGCUGGCUGUUUGUCAUGACAAGAAAAUGGGAAUAAAUCUGGGACCACAGUAUCUUAACGAAGCUGUUUGCUACAGGGCGUUUGGAGGUUAUGCCCUAUAUUUUACUGCAAACAAAUUAGAAAUGAUUUAGUGGUGUUUAUCUAGUGACUGAAAAACCUGUUCCCCGCCUACAUAACUUGCAGGGAGCACUCAGGGCCCAAUCCCGCAGGUGCAUCUGGACUGCUGCGUUCGAGGAUCCCCUUACACGGAUUUGACUGUGGAACCGGGGCCACGUUUGUAGAAGCUCAAGCAGCCCGUCUCAGCCACAAGCAGAUGAGGUAUCCAUACUGAAGAUUUAACUCCAGUUCUUGCACACGCUGAUUUCUUAUGAGAUUGACCUCACUAUGACCGAGGGCCUCAUAGCCAUUGUAAGCUAAUAUCUUACGUGAUUAUUCUGCAAGCAUGGGGAUCCAGUUUCUCCUUUUUCUCCUUUUGGUCCAUCAAUUCCCUAAACGGUGGCCCAGGCAAUCCAAGCUCUCCCUGAAGUAGCACAAAGGAAUAAAGGUCAGAAUUUUUUUUAAAAGCAUUUUGUACACUAGGAAAUUCUCCAUUUGGGUAUCCAUCCACCAGACGUGAUGGAGGGCAGCUCCUCAGUACUGUAAGGCUCGUGAGCAGCCUGAGGUAGAAAAUGACAUCUGUGUUUUUCAAGUGAAGUGCCAGGUUUCAUAACUCAAUGAAAAUUUGAAUUGUGCUGAAGGAAAGAGGAACAUUAAGAGCUGGACCAUGCUAAUACCUCUCCCUAGCAAGGUUCAGAAGUGGAGAUGCCCAAUAUCAAAACCUUUCCUGCAUGUCGCCUUUUGUGCUAUGAGACACAUUUGUCCAGCCUUGCUAAAAGCUGUUGUCACAGGGGGAUGCAUCCACCCACUGUUCCACAUGGAAAACCCCUAUCGAUACACAGAGAAGCUUGACAUGAGGAUGUGGAGACAUUCUGGGGAGACAUCCUAUGGAGAAUGAUAAUAUCCAGGAAGAGUCAUCAGAUUAGAAGCAACUUUCAUCAGUCAUAUCUUGUCCAGCUCUCUGCAGAAGGCAGGAGGCACUGUCCCUAAACCUGUAUGCACGGAAGCUUAUCUAGCCUCUUCUUGGAGCCUCUAUUGAAGGAGAUGCAACAGCUCUCUGGGCCCACUGGUUCAGGGGUACAAUAACCUGGGUAUACAGGAUAACUUUAUCAAAGGUACAGCUGGAGAACCUUCCCACCCAUUCAGCCCCACUCUACCAGGAAAUAAAACAUUAACCUAUUAAGACCACAGCAAUGUGAUUAAAGAAAAAUUGAAAUACAAAAUGCUAACACAACAGGAAAACCCUCCCAAGCUUCUGCGGAAAUCCUGCAGGCCAUUGCAAACUGUUAUCCUUACUAGAGACUCUGACAGACAGGAUGUUUGACAACCCUUUGACGGGGACAUAUAUUUUGUCAUUUGUAAACGAACCCAAAGAGACACUGGAUUGCACACCCACCCACCUAGUGUGGAACUAAUUGGCGCUUUGUUAUUCUGAGCCCCUCGUUUCCAUUAUUAACGUGGUUCACAUUGCAAUGUUUGUUCAUGUUUUAAACUCUUCAAGGCAGUCACUUUUUACGAGGUGUGUUUACUAAAAAAAGAAGUGAGUGGGCAGACAGGCAACGUAACUAACAAGCAGCAGAGCGGUAAAGGCAGAGUCAGCGGCAGUUUACUGAUUUGCCCCUGAGCCAUCUCACCAUGCAACACACGGGGCAGGAUGCAGACCAAGGAGCCAUCAGUCAUUGUUAGUUGACUGAGUCGCCAAACAUUGGAUGGACCCUUUCCAGUGAACUCAGUCCACAAAUUCCACUCACAAAGCCACAUGCUGUGCUCUUCUGUCAAGGCAACCCAUGCAGACAUCUGGCAUACAGUAAUUACCAUCACUUUGUGUCUCCCUGCAGCCUGUUAUAAAACAAUUAGGAUGGUUUUCAAAUGUGUCUGCAAUUAAAUUAUU